AACAAAAGAAUAUCCAGCAACAUUAUGCGAAUCAAUUGUUUUGAGCAUUGGAAUAUUACAUUAAUCAACCAACGUACCCAUCAAUUUCAUGAAUACAUCUUCACAAAUCCUUCAUUUACUUCGUCUCCAGUUCCAGUCUUCAAGCGGAGGUCGGUUUUCUUUGAUAAACAGCAUUUGAUUAUGUAAUAUAUUCGCACUCUUUCUGGUUGACCACGUGAGAAGAAAUUUGAAAACGCAAUGAUUGACCAUGUCACGUGAUAGGGUGGUUAAGAAGUUUUGCAUCUGGACGCAAUUUUUGGUGUCUAUUGGUAUUGAGAUGUACCUGGAUGCUCAUUGGGCAACACAAUAUAAAAACAAAGCCUUGUUACAUUUUCAUAAAUUAUAAUUAUUUUUUUGAGAAAAUGGCUUGAAAAGAUAAGAUAUUUUUCGUUUGUA